AUCACUGAUAAUCGCUUAGUUGGUUAAAGCGCCUGUCUAGUAAACAGGAGAUCAUGAGUUCGAAUCUCGUCGGUGCCU
rnacentral:tRNA from 1 species